UCUCCCCAUCUACGCCGCCACCUGCUUCCAACCCCGGCCACAAAAACCACCGCAGCUCGACGCCGUCCGCCGCCGUCGCCAUGGACCAGCUCGAGCCAACCUGAGCAGUGGAACGGAACCGCCUCGGCUCCCUCUUAUUCCUCGACGUCUAUUCCCGGAACUCGAGCCGCCAAGUUCUGCUCGGAACCAUCCUCGUUGUCGCGCCUUCUUCUCGACCACCGACGGUUGCUGCACGUUCUUCUUCCUUUCCGGCCGUUUCUCUUCACCGCCAACCCCAGGACACCGACGCAGAGCAGUUCGAGCAGGGGUACGAGUUCCCCCUGGAAGAUCGUGUCGGUGCUUCUACCUCUGAUCUGACAGGCGAGCCCAUCCCUUCACCUAUUUUACAUUUACAUGCUCUUUUGAUCUAUUGCUAUCCUUAUGUCGCGAUUCUGUUGUGUCACGUGUCCUAUUCCACCUGUUACCUAUAUAUCCGAGAUACACCUCCUCGCCCUGCCGUUGUUUGUUGUUUGCCUGCUUUGCGAGUCGUGGGCGAGUUUAGGGUUUUCUGUUGAUAUCUCGAAAUGUUCGGGAUAUCUUGUUGGGAUGUUGACACAUGUACCACCUUUUCAAAAGGAUGAUGAUAACUUUUGCUACAACUUAAAAUUGCUAAGGGAUAUAAUAUUGCAGAGGCAUCGGUGAGCCCCUUUGCGAAAGCAUCGGAUAUUUGUCUCGCUUGUGUCCCCUAGGACCGAGUUCUUGUUAUCUGUUUCUAAGACUGAGCGCGCUAACCACUCGUGGGAGGAUUUAUCGGGACCCCCCAUCACCCAUUACCAUUUCUCAAGUCUGUUGAAAAGGGGGCCACAACCUUGGUUUUAUUUGCCUAUGCCAUGUAUGCCAUGCUUUAUCUACUGUUGCCUUCGGGUGUUUAUUUCCUGUUGCCUUCGGGUGUUUAUAUUCUGUAUUGUACCCCGCGGAACGUUUAGUGAAGCGUGUGGUUUGCACGCCUAGCCGUUAACGCAAACCCUGAGUCCGCAUCGGAGUACGGCCGAACUUCGUUUCAGGUAGCUUAGUCGGGUGGCCCCCCUAGGCAUUAUUGUUCAUCAGGGAACGGUCUUGUUAUGAGACUCCGCACUUGUCUAUGCGGGUUCGAUCAUGCAUGUAUGGUAACAUUGGUGCACCCCUGCAGGGUUAAAUCUUUUCGGAAAGCCGUGUCCGCGGUUAUGGAUGACUUGGAGCUGUUUAACUCGAUCAUAGAACAACUUACACCUAAUGUUGUCACUAAUAACUUAGAGCCCAUUGACACAUGGGAAGAGAUGCAAUAAGUCAUGCACAAACGCUUUGUGCCCACCUACCACAAACGUGACCUUUUCAACAAGCUCACUCAACUCAAGCAAAGCUUCAAGUCCGUUGAGGAGUAUUACAAGAAGAUUGUAACAUCCCAAGAACACCGACGCAGAGCAUUUCGAGCAGGAGUACGAGUUCCCCCUGGAGGAUCAUGUCGGUGCUUGUACCUCUGAUCUAACAGGCGAGCCCACCCCUUCACCUAUUUUACAUUUACAUACUCUUUUGAUCUAUUGCUAUCCUUAUGUCACGAUUCUGUUGUGUCAUGUGUCCUAUUCCACCUGUUACCUAUAUAUCCGAGAUACAACUCCUCGCCCUACCGUUGUUUGUUGUUUGCCAGCUUUGCGAGUCGUAGGCGAGUUUAGGGUUUUCUGUUGAUAUCUCGAAAUGUUCGGGAUAUCUUGUUGGGAUGUUGACACAUGUACCACCUUUUCAAAAGGAUGAUGAUAACUUUUGCUACAACUUAAAAUUGCUAAGGGAUAUAAUAUUGCAGAGGCAUCGGUGAGCCCCUUUGCGAAAGCAUCGGAUAUUUGUCUCGCUUGUGUCCCCUAGGACCCGAGUUCUUAUUAGCUGUUUCUAAGACUGAGCGCGCUAACCACUCGUGGGAGGAUUUAUCGGGACCCCCCAUCACCCAUUACCAUUUCUCAAGUCUGUUGAAAAGGGGGCCACAACCUUGAUUUUAUUUGCCUAUGCCAUGUAUGCCAUGCUUUAUUUACUGUUGCCUUCGGGUGUUUAUAUUCUGUAUUGUACCUCGUGGAACGUUUGGCGAAGCGUGUUGUUUGCACGCCUAGCCGUUAACGCAAACCCUGAGUCCGCAUCGGAGUACGGCCGAACUUCGUUUCGGGUAGCUUAGUCGGGUGGCCCCCCUAGGCAUUCUUGUUGAUCUGGGAACGGUCUUGUUGUGAGACUCCGUACUUGUCUAUGCGGGUUCGAGCAUGCCUGUAUGGUAACAUUGGUGCACCCCUGCAGGGUUAAAUCUUUUCGGAAAGCCGUGUCCGCGGUUAUGGACUUGGAGCUGUUUAACUCGAUCAUAGAACAACUUACACCUAAUGUUGUCGCUAAUAACUUACGAAUUACUUGCAUAGUAAGUUAGCCCUAUUAUAAUGGAAUGGAUGUAAAAUUUGGCAACUGUGUGAGUGCCUUGUUAGUACCUCUUGGCUAAGGGGGAUCCCAAUGGCACGGUUUGUUUGCAGAGUAUAGAACUCCUAGAAUAUGUGCUCUCUCAUCUUCUCUAUUAGACGGGUGUUGUAGCGUGUCUCUGUUGGAUAGUGCUUUGCCGCCGCUAAACUCCACCAUAUAGCCGGGCGAAGUUUACACCGCCCACCAGCAAGCAUAGCUGGUCUUGUCUCGCAAGUACGUGCCAUUUGGUACUUACCCUCGUUUUUCUUCCUCUUUGUUCGGAACACGCUUUUCGACAAACAGGUACGGCAGAUGAUGACCAGUACACAGGAGGAUACUUUUUCAAGUUCACGGACGACGACUUCGUUGCGUAGCAGGAUCUUUCCUAAGGCGGCAGCCAGUGGCAUGUUGGUUAUGGGAACACCGCUUGUUUAUCUCGAGGACUCUUAGUCUCAUUUGGUUCUUGUCUGUACCCAAACUAUUUUGCUAUCUUAUGUAUGAUGUAAUGUUGGGACAUGUGUCCUCUGAGUGUCAUUUGGAUCUUGCUCAUUAGAGCGUUGCUAUAUAUAUGAACCUUUAUUUCCA